rnacentral:misc_RNA from 1 species
GAUGAAGAACGCAGCGAAAUGCGAUAAGUAAUGUGAAUUGCAGAAUUCAGUGAAUCAUCGAAUCUUUGAACGCACAUUGCGCCCGCCAGUAUUCUGGCGGGCAUGCCUGUUCGAGCGUCAUUUCAACCAUCAAGCCCCCCGGCUUGUGUUGGGGACCUGCGGCUGCCGCAGGCCCUGAAAAGCAGUGGCGGGCUCGCUGUCACACCGAGCGUAGUAGAUCUCAUCUCGCUCAGGGCGUGCUGCGGGUUCCGGCCGUUAAACCACCUUCAUAACCCAAGGUUGACCUCGUAUCAGGUAGGAAGACCCGCUGAACUUAAGCAUAUCAAUAAGCGGAGGA